AUUGAACGCUGGCGGCGUGCUUAACACAUGCAAGUCGAACGAGUGGCGAACGGGUGAGUAAUACGUGAGUAACCUGCCCUCUUUUUGGGAUAAGCCUUGGAAAAGGGGCCUAAUACCGCAUAAAGGGGGAGGGGCUCGCGGCCUAUCAGCUUGUUGGUGGGGUGAUGGCCUACCAAGGCGGUGACGGGUAGCCGGCCUGAGAGGGUGACCGGGCACAGUGGGACUCGGGUACGAGCCAAAGGCCUACGGGAGGCAGCGGUGGGGAAUAUUGGGCGAUAGGGGGACUCAUGAUGGAUCACCGCCGCGUGGGGGAGGACGGCUUUCGGGUUGUAAACCGCUUCUAGCCAUGACGCGGUAGUGGCAUAAGAAGCACCGGCUAACUACGUGCCAGCAGCCGCGGUAAUAC
rnacentral:rRNA from 1 species